CAUUUUAACCCAGGCCCUCAGAAAGAGAGGCAGCAGUCUGUGAUGAGCAAGUCAGGAGGCAACAUCAGGCUGAGCUGCUCCUGGAACAUCUUGGAGAUAAAGUUCCUCACUACUCUGAAUUAAAUUCAGGCUGCUUCCUCCUCCUUGCUGCCUGGGUGCCAACAGGAGCAGCACUGAGAGCACAGCAGUUUCCCUUACCUGGUGCCACAGCUAUCUAAAGGAGAAAGUGAAAAUCCUGCUCAGCCUAUGGACAGUCCAAUUUGUGUGCAAGAGCUACAAGUGGAUGCAAUAUCUGGGGCAGAUAGAAUCUUCAGAUAAUUUAGCUGCCAGCCUCCAACAAGUUACUACUGCAACCCUAUCCUCCCUAACCCAGAUUACAACUCGUCUUAAUUUGGUUGAUUUUCACAAAGAAAGCAAAAGACAUUCCUGACACUAGCACAACAGAAAAUAUAUAAUAUAGAAGUAAUUGUACUAGACUGCAGUAUAGCUUUUAAAGCCUAUCCUAAAUUAACAAGUCUGGGACAGCAUCAAAACUAAACUGAGACAGAAAAUGUACAGAACCAGGAAUCUGCAGAGCACAGAACCUUAGCAAUACAGUCGCCAACAUUGCAAUGACUAAUAAUAUUGUUUGGAUAGUGAAUAUUCAUAAAGCAACAUUACUGAAAAAGUCCAAGUGGAAAUACAUGCAAGCUUGUUAGAAAAAUAUUUAACCACAGUGACCAAGGGAAAAAUACUAACUCACCUUGGAUCAAGACCAACUCCAACUGUUUCUGUAAACAGAGUUCACCACUUCUGCAGCAACAGGUGUGAGAUUACAGCAAAAGAUCAGUUUCCCCUCUGCCCCACUCCACCAGCUAAGAAAACAGGUUUUAUUUUUUAAAGAGGGUGCUUAUGUCAACCAGAAACUUCAGGAAUAUCAGAAACCCCAAAUAGUUCACACUAAAAUAUUUUUCAAUAAAAAAUUAAUGUUCAGUUAUAAAGUUAUUAGGUUAUUUGCAUUUUAGGAUAGUUUCACAAUUAAGUGAAACCACUUUGUGGUUUUUUUCUCUCUACUGACGACAUGUUUUCAUCUCAAUAGUUUCUAAAAAUAUGCCACAACUAGAAACAAAAAUCAUUUAUUAAAACCUGAAUGAAAAUACAUUCCACUUAUGUGUUUUGUUAUCACUUAUGUCAACAAGCACUAUGAUGAUACAAGCCAAUAGCAACUGCCUUCUUACAAAGAAGCACUCCUAGAAGGAAUCUACUUUCCUUUAAAUAAAAGGGAAUGAACCUGUGAACAGCAUUCCCACUGCAUAGUUUAACUAUGCUGUAACAUUAAGUAACACAGGCUAUGGACAGACUCUCAAUUUCAGCCAUUUUCAGGGAAAUCUACAGCACUGGAAAACAUGGCAAGAAGAGGGGCACAUGGGUGUUUCAGCCCCCUGCCUGGGGAAGUACAAAGUCACCUUAAAAGGUAAGCUCUCCAUCUUGGGGACAAUAAAGAGCUGUUCAUUGAGUCUCUCCACCAUCAGAGAAGCCUUGUCAUUGACAGCCUACCUCUCCCCUGCCAGGGAAGGAGGCAAACUAUCAGUGAUCAGCUGGCAGCUCUCCUCUCUGCCACCCCCAGCAGUGCUACUGUCAGAACACCAGCUCUUGCCAGGGCUCUCGCAACAGGGGCAAGAAUUCUUACUCUAAUCCUCACCCUACCAUGUGCCUACCCCGCUCCACCUGCUCUACUGAUCAGCAGAGUGCAUGGGGGAAGGGCUAGAAGGGAGGUGAAAUUCCUGCCACUCCUUAACAGUUCCAGGACUCCUGCUCAUAGGAAGGGGCUAUCGGUUUAUAUGACUGUCUUCUUUGAAACUUUGUAUUUCAUAAUUGCUAAUACAUCCUUUCCUAUUAGUACUUCAGUAAUGAAAAUGCAAUUCACUGGAAACCAUCCUUUAUCUUUCCCACUGAUUUAACUUAGUUAAUCCCAGCUUUGUGUUUCCCCCUUUCUUUCCAGUUCUUAUUGCAACAAAAACAGAGGAUCACAGAUCUGCUAGUCUGAAGUGCUCUGAAACCUACAGACCUUUCACUACGCAGUGUAAAUUUUCUAUGGCUUAUGAAGUUUCUCUUCAUAUGUUGUCUUUAGUCCAGCUAAACAUUUUUCCAUACCGUACUACUCUGCCUUGACAGGGUAAACCUACAGCACCUUGAGCUCAAAUGCAGACAAAGCAUUUCCUUCAUCAGUAAGUGGGAGCAUCUACUGGUUAUAUGCCUAGACUGAAACAGAAGUUAGUCAGGCACUCUUCCCCACUUCCCCUUAAAAAGGUAUCCUCUCCCCUCAGGUUAGCACCUCCCUGUCCCCCUAGGGGCCAUUUUACCUCUGUAAUUGUAUUUGCUUGAGUUCCAACAAUAUUUGUCCUUAGUGAAAACCCAGCAUAGCUGCUUGAUCCAGCUUGACUCCCACAAAAUUGAUGCACGGUCAGUCCUAACCCUGAUAUCUUGAUCACGCUUCAUUCCCAAGCACACAGCAGCCAUCAACAUUUGUCUUAACUGGCCUAUGCAAUAGUCCUAGGUUUGGGAUUAUGAAGGAUUUGUAACUGCCCUACAGUAAUUUAGGAAUGUAGUACAUUGACCUAGAUAUUGAUGUUUACUGUAUUAAUAUAGUGAGUUAAGUCAAUGGAGGGCUGUCUGGCAUACAAGCAGGAAAGAAGAGAUACUUCUACACAGCUGUUUAGCACCUGACACAAGACACAAUGCCAGAACUUCUGCUCUGGGGACUCUGGCUUUCAGCACUGGUUUGACCUGCCAAGCACAGGACAAGAAUCAUCUUCAAGAGACAAGCAGCAGUGAUUCAGGGAAACAGAAAGAUACAGAGGAAUUCACUGGAGAUUUACCAUCAGAGUGAAGGGCAGCUACCAGAUGACAAACGAAGAUGGCAGCAGAGAUGGGAGACAAAUGGGCUAGAGUAAUAACAGAACAGGUUGGAGACUGGGCAGAGAAGCAAGUUGUUUUCAAGUUGAUAAGACCAUAUGGGAUGGACCCAAGGGUACUGACAGAAUUGGCCGAGGUAAUUUCAGAGCCAUUAGCUAUCCUUUUUGAGAACUCGUGGAGGUUGGGUGAGGUCCCAUACAACUGGAAAAAGGCAAAUAAAGUGCCCAUCUUUAAGAAGGGAAAGGAGGAGGAUCUGGGGAAGUACACAUCAGUCAGCCUGACCUC